GCGCUGCAGCAGCAACGUCACGGGACAGGCAGGGACGGAGCUCGCCACCCUGCCUCUGCCCCUGCGACGACGCGUACAUCUGGGCAUGCAGCCCACACAAGCAAAGAGACCUGGAAAGAAAAAGCAGAGCAGCUGCCGCUGGUGUUGCUUGGAGCCAGGGGCGAGCAUGCGGCCAGCUGUGGGAGAAACGCUCCUCCAGCCCCACAGCGCAGGCUGGGCUGCGCUGGCACAUGUGCGGUCGGCGGGGAAAGGGGAGAGAGCCUUCCCCUUGCCGGGGCACUGGGGAGACCACGGUGAGCAGCUGCACUCAGCAGAGCAAGGACAGUGCUGCUGGCACGUCCAAAACGGACACUGGUGGCACACACGUGCUCGGGCAGUGUCACGGUGUCCACAGAGGUGGAGGGGGACCUCACCUCGAAGGGCUCUCAGCCGCUCCAUCACAGCAGGAUAUCUCCAGACAGACACAGUGCUCUCUCUGGCUCCUCCUCCUGCAGCUUCCACAAGCUACUGGGCCACCGCUCCCAGCGCUGCCACAGGGGUGUAAGAGACAGCCGCUGUGACAUCGCACUGAGGAGUGUCACCUCACAGAGGAUGACGGGCCCUGGGCUGGGGACCAGAUGUAAUGCCCGGCAACCUUGCUGGCCCCAAAACACAGCAUGUUUUUGUGAGGCACUCGGCUGCGGGGCGGACACGUUCUGCGUCGGCAUUGUCUUAGCAAUGGGGGACUCCUUGCCAGGAGGCACUGAGGGCCCCAUCGGCCCCCCAGAUAACCUCUCCAGAGAGGUUUGCUGUCUUGCGUGGGCACGUGCCAGAGACGUUAAGGAGACUCCACCGCAUCUGAUCAAACAAGUUGACCACCGUCAACUUCUGUCUUUUAUACUCAGUUUUGCUCUUACUCUUGACUUUGAAACAUGCUUAAGCCUUGAUCUGAAUUCUUGGUUUCUGAGUUGCUUGAAAUCUGAGACCCUCAUGCUUGGCCUCUUGCUUCAGCUUUGUCUGCAUCCUGUCUUAUGCCUCAUCACUCUGCGAACAUCCCAGCAGAUCAUCCCAAUUGGAGUAAUCAGGAAAGAAGGAAAUAUUUUCGUGAUGAAGCAAACUGUAUGCAAACCAUAUGAUGGUGAAGACCAUGACCAAUGGCUGAUAACAAAUUCUCAAGGAAUUCACAGGGACCAAAGAGAUCCAUGGGUUUCAGGAGAGAGUCCUGCAAUAACAAGUGGCUCCGUGUGCCGAGGGAACAUUUUCUGUAAGCCAUAAAAUAAUUCAUAAAUUUAGAAUAUGCAUUCCAUAUGAAUGUAUAUGCCUUUUACAGAAGAGGGAUAAUUAACACCACAAGGAUACAGUCUUCAUCUAUCAUCCAUUCCCUGACCCAAAAUAAGCAGCCCAAACCGUUGUAGAGAACAAAUCCUAGGCAAAGAGUAGCAGAGACUUAUGAUCCUCUGGCUCCCAGACUUCUCUAUAAUUUUCCUUCUGUCUCUGAAUCCUUGUAAUAAGCUUCCAACAGUUUGGGAAAGUAUGUAUUUAGGUAUCUGUCUCUAGUAUUCAUCAGUGGAAAUGGCACAGAAUCUUUGUUUACCACAACAGUAAGCAAACACUGACAUUAUGUCUGAAGAUAACAUACUGUUUUCACUAGAGGUGAAUAUAGUCAUUGCUAAGAUCAAAUAGCCCCAAGACUCUUGCUUUCAUUUUCUCCGUCUUUUGCACUUUAAUAAUGAUGUAGUUCCAUCCUGAUGAUAUGUUCACAUAGUCUUUUCACCACAUCCUAAUGAUUUUUCCUAACCUUGUGCUGUGGUAUCUGUUGAUAGUCUCUCUAUCCAAGUCAUAACAUGACAUGAAGCUGAUAGACAGCAAGACCAGCAGGACAGGUUUGCAACUGUGAGAGGUGGCAACAAAUAUCUGUGUAACUAAUGGGGAACCAAACUGAAUGUCCCUAUUUUCAAUACAUAAAGUCACUUAGGCAGGGUUUCACUACCUUAAUUGGAGAGCAGUAUUUUUAACAAAACAUUGCAGUCCAUUGCUCUUUUAAUAAGUGAGCUUGACUCUUUUAUGUCCUUG
ensembl:lncRNA